rnacentral:rRNA from 1 species
UACGGAGGGGGCUAGCGUUGUUCGGAAUUACUGGGCGUAAAGGGCACGUAGGCUGGCUGUUACUUCUGUGUUGAAAUCCCGAGGCUCAACCUCGGAACUGCCUUGGAUACUGACGGUCUUGAGUGCGGGAGAGGUGAGUGGAAUUCCCAGUGUAGAGGUGAAAUUCGUAGAUAUUGGGAAGAACACCAGUGGCGAAGGCGGCUCUCUGGUCCGAUACUGACGCUGAGGUGCGAAAGCGUGGGGAGCAAACAGG